rnacentral:rRNA from 1 species
CCUACGGGUAGCAGCAGUGAGGAAUAUUGGUCAAUGGACGAGAGUCUGAACCAGCCAAGUAGCGUGAAGGAUGAAUGCCCUAUGGGUUGUAAACUUCUUUUAUAUGGGAAUAAAAUGUUCAACGUGCGGGAUUUUUUAUGUACCAUAUGAAUAAGGAUCGGCUAACUCAGGGCCAGCAGCCGCGGUAAUACGGAGGAUCCGAGCGUUAUCCGGAUGUAUUGGGUUUAAAGGGAGCGUAGGUGGAUUUGUAAGUCAGUUGUGAAAGUUUGCGGCUCAACCGGAAAAUUGCAGUUGAAACUGGCAGUCUUGAGUACAGUAGAGGUGGGCGGAAUUCGUGGUGUAGCGGUGAAAUGCUUAGAUAUCACGAAGAACUCCGAGUGCGAAGGCAGCUCACUGGACUGCAACUGACACUGAGGCUCGAAAGUGUGGGUAUCAAACAGGAUUAGAUACCCUUGUAGUC